GGAACUGGGUAUUAUUUUUGCAAGAAGAAUUAUAAUGUCCCUGAUGGAGAUGCUGGGUCCUGAAUGUGUAGCUGAUCACACUGUGGCCUGGACACAGAGUUGGAACCACAAUCCAGAGUCCCUGGGUUUUGCCUGCAAAGGGCUGUGCUGCUUAUCCGUGGAGCCCUUCUUCUCCUUGUUUUCAUUUAGGCUCGUUGGUCUGUUUCCACUCCACACCACUGAGCCACCCUGCAGCUUUGCUGUGUAGGGUAAACUCUAAGGAUUGAAGAAUGAUUUGUCCCUAAGAAGAGGAUUGUGGCUUCAGGAAGUUGUCGAUGUCUAUAAGCAUACAGCUGUCCUGCAGCCAGGCUAAAGGAUUCAUUUCCAAACCCAUGUCAUCCUGUUCUCUGAGUACUAAUGCACCUUGACGAUUCUAGCUUUGUCUUCUUUCUUCUGCUGCUCAAAUUGAGGGGAUCUUGCUCAUUUGCUGAGACUCAGAGAUACAGAAGCUUUCUUAAGCACAUCUUCUCUCAGCUUCCAAACAGAGCUCAUGUUUCCUUCCCUGGGGUCCUAGUGACUCACAUCACGGUGGCCUAGAGCUUCUG
rnacentral:lncRNA from 1 species